UACGUAGGGGCGAGCGUUGUCCGGAAUUAUUGGGCGGUAAAGGGUACGCAGGCGGUUCUUUAAGUCUGAUGUGAAAUCUCACAGCUUAACUGUGAGCGGUCAUUGGAAACUGAGGAACUUGAGUAUAGAAGAGAAGAGUGGAAUUCCAAGUGUAGCGGUGAAAUGCGUAGAUAUUUGGAGGAACACCAGUGGCGAAGGCGACUCUUUGGUCUAUUACUGACGCUGAGGUACGAAAGCAUGGGUAGCAAACAGGAUUAGAUACCCCCGUACGUCCU
rnacentral:rRNA from 1 species